rnacentral:lncRNA from 1 species
AUAUUAUUCUUGCUUUGAACUUCCCUCACUCACUCACCGACCGUCCCUAGAGCAAGUGGCAAAGGGUUUGGUGGUUGGUACCUGCGGUCCUAAAUUCGAAUUCUAGUUGAUUCACAUUUCAAGCUAAGUUUAUUUCUAAAUGAAAUAAAUGAAGCGGGUAGCGUGCUAUCUAAUCUCUCAAAAAACCUUUCCUCACUCUCAUUCCUAUCUGAAAAAGACGCAUAAGGAAAGGUUUAUGAAAAAAUUAAAACUCUUUUUGGAUAUUACAUGAAUAUUUUAUUUGAUACAUCUCUUCGAUUUAAUCAAAAAACAGUAGUAUUUAAUAGAGGAGGAGUAUGAUCAACCGUCUCGAUUAGGUAACACAUUCAGCCUUCAAGUCAUAUUUUUAGAAUAAGAUACAUUAUCUUACAUGUAAGAUAUAUUAUUCAACCAUAUUUUUAGAAUAAGAUACAUUAUCUUACAUGUAAGAUAUAUUAUUCAACCAGAUCAUGAAAUAACUUAUUCAGACAACUAAAUAAAGCCUAA